AGCCAUAUUCAUCAAUCACUGUCAUAGGGAAUUGUAAAAUUAUUUGCAUUUCUAGUCUUUAUAGCUGUAAUUGAUGAUAGCUAAUUACGAUGCAUCCGUUAUACGCGAUGGCUCUGCAACAAAAACAUGAAAUCACUUGCCCUCACUGAAUCUAAACUUACUAGAUCAUGUACCCAUUAUUGUUGAUUUUCCUUAAUUAUUCUUUUAUUUUAGGUUUGAUGUCUUUUGGACGACUGAAUCUCACAUAUCCCUUUCCUCGAAUGAUGGAUGUGUACACAUUUUUAAUGGUCGUCGAUCAUUGGGUGCGAGACCUCCCCCCUAUCUCUCUCACACGGCACUUGUGAUUAUCUCUGCAACUCUUGGACUCUGAAAGAAGAAGAAGAAGUAAGGGAAAUCAUGUACAAAUGAAAAGUCUCUUUUAUUCCCAGCGCAUACGUCUAAUAGGUAUGUUUUGAUUUUAUUCUAUUAAGUUUAAUCUGUUGUAUAUCAAACCCAACUGAGUCUUAUACCCAAGGAUAUUCGUACAUCACCGACCCGAACUUGUGUCUCGUAUACGAGUCUAUUGAAGCCAUUAAUGGUGCUCUGUCCGGUCUGUCCCUGACAUCUUUUAUGAUCUAUGCCACCCAACUGGGGACGACGUCCACUGCGACUUCCAUUCAAGGAUUGAUUUCAGCGACCUACUUCGGACUAGGGGCUGGAAUCGGAAGCUCGGUCGGCCGAGUCCUGAUCGGAGCGUUCGGCAAGCGAGUGGUUUUCCGCAUUUUGGGAGUCAUCGCUUUCCUCACUGGAUUCCUCUACUUCCUCUUUAAUAUUUUUUACUUGCGUCCAAAGGCCAAUGAAAAAAUAACACUACCGUUGACAAGACUGAUUCAAGUGUAAACGUGAAGGUCGAAGAAAUUCAGUGACAUUCAACGUCCGUUAGUCUUUUUAUAGCAAACAGCAUCUAAGCAAACUUCUCUCCUAUAAGCCAUUAAAUUGGUCGUUAAUUGACUAACUUUUUGACUAAACAUUUUUUUAGCUCAUUUACAGAUUGAAGCCUAUGAAAUAUUUAGAAUUUUAAAGACUAAAAGAAUUUCAGUUAUUGUCAUAAUAAUUUAAUAAAUCAAUAUAUAAGAAGUGUCAGUAUAUUUAUUUUUUGUUUACCCUUUUGACCAAGUGGGUAACAUCGCGUCGCUUCCAUCUUCUAGAAUCCAGUAGUUUUCGGGACUUCCCUGAAUCGGACCAAUCUUCAAUUAGGACAAAAAAUGGGUUACAAAAGCUAUCGGCAGCAGCAGAGCACCCAGACACGUUUGAAUCCAAUUUCCAUUCCUGCAUUGGUUUAAUUUAGUUUAAAAAAGUAGAUUUUACGAAUUUUAAAUUAAUGAGAAUCCGAGCUUAAAACUUGAUUUCUUGAAAAUUCACACCGUUUCGAAUCGUCGGUUAAGAAUUUAAUCUAUGGUAUGCGCUUGGGCUUGGCACAUACGACCAACACGAGUUGGCUCCAUUAGGAUAAGCCUUUUUGUUAUUUAAGAUUUUUAUUCAGUUACCACUUUAUUUUAGACAACAAUGAUCGACACCCUUGCAUUGCCACAAAUGGAGACGGCCGCCGCUGUCUUAGUUCAAGUUCAUUUCAUAGACGGUUUAUGAGCUUACGAAUUUUUUGUAAAAGCGAGUCAAUUGAAAAGUGCCUCGAAGAACAAAUGUGGGAGGGUAAGCAAAAGUCAUUGCGUGCCGACAAUCGAUUUAUAGUGAAUGCGUUUUUAAAGAGCGCGCUUAAUGAUCUCGCAAUGGCAACAGUUCGCUGAUUAGAAUAGAAUGCGUCAUUCCCAAAGUCAAUCGUCAUGACCUAUGAAUAAUCGAACAAUAGGAAAAUGGAAAGGAAGAAAAUAUAAUGUGCUAUAUGGACUUUGGCAAUUCCAUUAUGACUUUUCGGUUGAAUGAAAUUGUACGAGAAUAAGGAAGUAUACGUCAGCAGCGUUGUUCCUAUUAGCUACCGCAUUUAUGUAAAGAAACGAAAAAAUUAAAAUU